rnacentral:misc_RNA from 1 species
GAUGAAGAACGAAGCGAAAUGCGAUAAGUAAUGUGAAUUGCAGAAUUCAGUGAAUCAUCGAAUCUUUGAACGCACAUUGCGCCCGCCAGUAUUCUGGCGGGCAUGCCUGUUCGAGCGUCAUUUCAACCAUCAAGCCCCCGGCUUGUGUUGGGGACCUGCGGCUGCCGCAGGCCCUGAAAACCAGUGGCGGGCUCGCUAGUCACUCCGAGCGUAGUAAUACAUCUCGCUCAGGGCGUGCUGCGGGUUCCGGCCGUUAAAAAGCCUUAUUUACCCAAGGUUGACCUCGGAUCAGGUAGGAAGACCCGCUGAACUUAAGCAUAUCAAUAAGCGGAGGA